CACCGUCUUAUCACACCCAUUUCAUUUAUAUUUUUCCCCUUCUCUUCUAUGUUCGGUUUGGCUACGGGAAGAACGAAGAAGAACAGAAGGAGUGAGCAAAUGGAAGAGGAAGAGGACUAAGCUUGGAGUUCUUGAUUUGAAGUAUGCCUUGGACAUUCUCACUGAAUGUGGCAUCCUUGGCUCUCGGCCAGCUUACAAUCUUAUGAAGCAGCGACAUCGUCUCUCUCAAGAUGCAAGUCAUCCUUUCUCAUAUUUGGGCAGAUAUCAACGCCUAAUUAAAAGACUUAUUUAUCUUACCAUUACAUGCUCGGAUCUCAGCUAUCCAAUCCAUAUCCUGUCUCAAUUCAUGUAGCAACCUUGAGAGGUACCUUGGGAUGUAACUGCACGGGUCUUGUUCUAUUUGAAGCAGUCACUUGGUCGGGGCAUUUUUCUAUGCCGCACUUCAUUAGCCUUAUCAGCUUAGUGCAAUGCAGAUUGGGCUAGUUGUCCCAUGACUAGGCAUUGUCUGAUAGGACACUUUGUCACUCUCAAUGGUAGUCCUAUUUUCCUGGAAGACCAAGGAGCAGACUACAGUCUCGAGAUCCUCAGCUGAAGCAAAAUAUUGAGCCAUGGCAGCUAUAGUAAGUGAAUUAUUAUGGCUUCAUACUCUGCUGGAGUCCUUGGGAGAUCCAUGGUCUAGUCCGAUGAAUCUCUACUGCAAUAAUCAGGGCGCCCUACACAUUACCACUAUUGAGAUUGAUUGUCAUUUUCUACGUCACCACAUACGCUCGGGGGUUAUCGCGACUAGUCAUGUGCCUACGCAAUUACAGCUAGCAAACAUUUUCACCAAAACGGUAGGUUGUGAUCGCUUUCAAUUUCUCCUCAACAAGUAGGAAAUUCGGAAUCCUCAUUCUCCAACUUGAGGGUGAGUAUUACGGGAAGAUUUUCUUAUUCUCAAAGUAAUUGAUUCAUUGUAUCAUAUGUACCAUAAUUAUAACAAGCAAAUUAGGUCUACAUAUAUUUCUUUCUUUCCUUAGGAGUCUUUCCCAUUUUACAUUGGAUCUUCUUGUAAAUAUUGAUAAUUACGUUUAAUGGGAAUUAAGCUUUUAGCGCCCAA